rnacentral:miRNA from 2 species
UGGAACGGAGGAAUUUUAUAG